rnacentral:lncRNA from 1 species
GCUGCCCGGCGUGUGCAGACUCUGCGCCGGCUCGUCUGUUUGGGGAGCUGUUGGUUAUCUUUAGGGAUGGGAAGACAUACAAGAAAGCAACCAGUUACUGGAUUAUAUGAGGAAGGCUGUGACAGAGGCCAUACCGGAUGCUGCAGGAACACAGAAAAAGAAGGAUCUACGCCCUUUGAUGAAUUCCCAGGAAGCCUUCCCAGAUGUGUCAGUGGG